GAUGAAGAACGUAGCGAAAUGCGAUAAGUAAUGUGAAUUGCAGAAUUCAGUGAAUCAUCGAAUCUUUGAACGCAUCUUGCGCUCCUUGGUAUUCUGAGGAGCAUGCCUGUUUGAGUGUCAUUAAAUUCUCAACUACACUGACUUUGAAUUGGUGUGGCUUGGAUUUGGGGGGAAAAUUGUUGUGGGCUUUUUGUAUAGUCUGCUCCCCUGAAAUUGAUUAGCGGUACCUUUGUGGAACUGUCUACAGGUGUGAUAAUUAUCUACAUCUGCUGGAAUGCUGCUUUCUAAACCUUACUUGUAUUGACAAUCUUGACCUCAAAUCAGGUAGGACUACCCGCUGAACUUAAGCAUAUCAUAAGCGGAGGA
rnacentral:misc_RNA from 1 species